AUAUAAUGAGCGAUGAUGAUCCAAAAUAUUACAAUGCAUGGAUAAUGGCUAUGGAUGCAGAACAUAAACCAAGAAGAUUACUUUGUACCUGGCAUAUAGUGAAAAACUGGAACAUACAAGGAAGGUCUAAAAUCAAGAAGUUGGAAAAUAGACAGAUAAUGAAACAUGAAAUAAGGAAAAUUUUAAAGGAGAUUGAUCCACAAAAAUUUAUACAGCUGAAAGAGAACUAUUUUAGGCAAUUAGAAGAAGAGGAGGAAACUAAUUUUCAGAAUUACCUGAAAAAGUACUAUUUCCAAAGUCAAGAGAGAAUAAUGAUGUGGGCACAUUGUUAUAGAAUCAAUGCCGGAAUUAAUACAAAUAUGGCAAUUGAAAGCUUAAAUAAAGUUCUGAAGUACAACAAAAUGAAUGGAAAGCAGAAUAUUAGGAUUGAAAAACUGUUGGAUUUACUGGAUGAACUUGUUGAUGAAAGAAUGUGGAAAAGGAUUAUAAACAUGGAAAGGCCAAAUGCAAAUAAUUAUCAGCACAAAAUAUGUCAGAGUGCACAUAAAAAAGCAGAAGAAAUGGUGGGUAAUAACGGUAAUGUAUCAUAUUCUGAAUUAGGACAUUUUAAGGUAAGGUCGUUUAUAAUCAUAAAUUGUAUUGUGUAAAUUAUAAUGAGGUUUGUGAUGAGGACUGUAGGGCAAUGUAUUGUGAGAAGUGUAAAAUAUGUAAACAUAAAUAUAAUUGUGAUUGUCCAGAAUAUACUGUUAAAAGUGUCAUGUGUAAGCAUAUACAUGCUGUAGCUUUAUUUGAGCAGUUUCAUGGAUGAAAUGCAAGAAGAUAAUAAUCUGUAUGUCAAUGAACCUUCAACAAGCAAGACAGUUUAUGAGGAAGAAGUAAAUCAUUUUCUUGACGAGACUGAAAAUAGAAUGAAUGUGACAAUUGAUUUUGAAAGAAAGCGUGAGAUUUGUCUAGAACAGUUUUGCUCUGAAAUUCGUAAUUAUGGUGGUGGAUUGGGUGAACAUGAUUUAGAAAAAUUUAUGGGUGAUUUUAGAAAUUUUAUGCAGACAGUAAAACAAAAAGAAAUGGUGAUGAGUAAAAAAAGAAAAAUAGAAAAGCAGCAGUAUUAUCUCAACAAAAAACCUAAAUAAAUUUAUUUAUAAUAAAAUGUUUAUAACUAUUUCAUUACUGAAUGACAUUGCUUUUCUGAGUGACCUAUUCUGGUAUUAUAUCUAAGUGGUGUUGGCUAUUUGUAUUCAUGUAAUUCGUUGGCUUAUGGUGAAGGAUACUUACAAAAUAUAUUUUUUUAAUUUUAAUUUUGCCUUUGUUAUAAUUAACUAAUAUAUUAGUGUUUGUUUCAUA